rnacentral:lncRNA from 1 species
GGGUGGGGACACCAAGGCCUUCGGAAGGCUCUGGUUCUGCUGCUCACUGCCUGUGUGACCUGAAGAAAACCAUGUGCCCUCCCUGGCCACAGGUGACAAUAGGAGGCGCGGUGAGAAGAGUCUGCAGGCUCCCAGCCUUCGCAUGGCUCGCCUCCCUCCCAGCAGCUCAGUGACGGGCUUGGGGGAGGCCCCGUGGAAUUCGGCAGCCGUGAGGCGCUUUCUCUCGGGAGUCACAAAGCCUUUCGCAAAACCAGAGAUGGGUGUUUCCUACCUGCCAAGGAGAGAGGAGUGUCGUGGAGCCGAGGACCUCUGUCCCCCUGUCCCCUGGGGUCAGGGGGCUGGGAAGCAUCCUUGCUGUCCACCGGUAAACCCUUAGUUCCUCCCAUCUGUAAACUAAGGAGUUGAAAGAGAUGGACUCUGUGGCCUGUCGAUGCCACACUCUCAUGACUCUGAGACAGGAGCCUGUGGCCCUGAGCUGCCUCAAUGCUGACAACUGGAAACGUAGCCCAGCUGAGCAAAGAGCAGGCCAGGGCGGCAGGGAAGUGAAACCCUGGCUUGAAUGUGCUGCUUCGGCUCAGUAAAUAACUGACGAGGGAGGAGAAUGGCCCCAAACUGCAAGUUGCCCCAUUGAAGGGAGGAAACCAGAGAGCAUGGGGGGAGGGGCAGGAGGGGUCCCAAGAGGAGGGGAUGGAAGGCUCGUGGUGGGCAUCGCGGGGACCCCUUAGGAAAGCAGACUGAUAGGCCUAAUUGGGGGUGGGGGUUCUGGACUCACAGAGCACGUGUGAAACGAGUUCUUCCUUUUCAUCCGCACUUUACUGCAAUCACAGCACCAGGCGGUUCUCAAGGGCAGCCCAGGGGCCUGAGCCUGCGGCCGUCAGGCCAUUUGUGUGUGUCUCAGCUCCCAGCAUCACCUCCCAGCCCUCUCCCAUCCCAUCUGUGCCCUGGUUUGCUUUGUCCCUGCACCCCCUCCUAAGAGUAACCCUUUUUUUUUCUUUUUCUUUCUUUCUUUCUUUUUUUUUUUUUUAAGGCUGCACAUGCAGCAUAGGUAAGUUCCCAGGCUAGGGGUCUAAUUGGAGCUGCGCCGCCAUCCUGCACCACAGCCACAGCAACUGGGGAUCCGAACUGCAACUAUGACCAACACCACAUCUCACGGCAAUGCUGGAUCCUUAACCCACUGUACUGGGCACAGAACCUGCAGCCCAGUGCCCCCCAAGAGGCUGCUGAUCCCCUCGUGCCACAGAGGGAGCUUCAGAGUCACCCUUUAUGCAUGAUCCAGUGCCUGGUUCUCCCUGGAAGGAAGCUGGAGUCCCGGUGUGAGCAGGUGUGGAGGCAGAGGCUGUGGUGAUGCAGCUGAUGGCAGGAUCUGGCUCCAAGGCUGGGCCCCGGCUGAUCUGACGCCCUGAGAAGCCCUUGGGAGGUUGGAGGCAUAUCGACAGACAUUUUAUCAUUUCGAGCAUUAAAAACUUAGAUUUGUUAUAUAUGAAAUAUUCAUAAGUUGGCCCAGUUUCACAUUUUAUUGAUUGAUGCUGAGAAAUCCGCGUUUCAGCAACACGAGUCAUGGCUACCAGAAGAAAGACCUUGUUAGGGAAUUGGCUUUGCUGGGGUCUCAGACCGCAGCUCCCCUCACAUCAGAGAGCAUCUCAUCUUCACCGGCUCCCGAGAGCAAAGGCCGGUCCUCAUGCCCCACCAGGGGCGAGCCGCCUCCCCGCGGGGGGAGCUUGGUGCAGGAACACCCCGUGGAGCAGAGGCCCCGGUGUUGGGUCCAGGCCCCCAGGCCAGUCCUCAGCCCUGCUGCCCCAUCAGAGCGGCGAGGCUGAGCCCACGCACUGGAGCUGCUGGACCGUUCCCGGUGGCCCCAGAGGAGGCGCCGAGGUUCCCCAUCUUCGCGAGAGGACGUGGAGCCCUGAGUCGCUCAGUCAACGAGCAAAUAGGCGUCCUCUGCCUGAAACUGCCAAGGGCUUUGUCCCCAGCCAGCCUCGGCACCAGGCUCCUCAAAGGAAACAUCAUGCCUCCAGCCCAGUGUUAAGAUGGAACGAAUGAAACCUACAGUCUGACGGGUCCAGAAGCCCUUUGGAAUAUCUCAUUCUACAGACACAAUCCCCCACUGAGCAAUCUGGGUGCCUUUCUCCCCUGAGCAAUCCAAGCAACAGGCACAAAAUUCUCUGCUAGGAAUAAGCUGGCCACUACAGAGCAAGAGAAAUUAAUUUUUAAAAAAUUAGCAAACAUUAACUAUGAUCUAACAAGAGGGAUGCCUGAACUCCUCGUUCCACCAUGAGUGUUCCCUGUCUGCUAUUUAGCCUCAGUCGUAUGUUGAAUCCAGUCCCCACGCCCAAAGAUAUGGCCACGCUCUGACCCCAGGAACCUGUGCGGGCGGUCUUAUUUGAAAAAGGGGUCCCUCCAGAUGUAAUGAAACUAAGGAUCUUGAGAGCAGCUCAUCCUGGAUUACCUGAGUGGGACAAAGUGAGACAAAGAGGGGAAGGUCCUGUGAAGAUGGAGCCGAGAUUGGAGUGACAGAGCCAUAAGCCGCAUCGUGCCUGCGGCCCCCAGAAGCUGGAGGAGGCAAAGAACCGAACCUCCAUGAGAACCUCUGGAGGGAGGCCAGCCCUGUCGACAUCUUGACUUUGCACUUGGCCCUCCAGGUCUGCGAGAGGCUAGAUUCCCAUUGUUUGAAGCCACCAAGCUGUCGUGAUUUGUUGCAGCAGCCCCAGGAAACGAAUCCAUCACUUUACAUGGGAAGGCUCAUGAUUUCAGGGACUCCCACCUCUGAUUCUAGGAGGGGCCCCCAAGUCCUCCCGGCAGCGCUGGCCGUCCACCGUUGUCCUCCUUCCCUCCCUGUCCCCUGCGUCCCCACAGCUCCUAGGUGGAGAAGUGUUUUACACGGUAGAGGCAUCUUGUGUUGAGCUUACUUACAUUUGGUCUUCGGCCUUUUCCAACAUCUGGGCGUGGCCAGUGUCAUCCCCAGCUCUCCUUGGUCACCAUGACUAGGUAAACUGCUUUAUUGGUACAGAGACCUUAACCGCAGGAGUUUCAGCAUUAAAAAAGAGGCGUUUCUUCUAUAGAUAAAUAGUGCCCAAGGGCCAGAAACACAGUCAGACCUUACAAAGGACCAAGAGCAGACGCCCGAUAAGCCUCGAUAAGACUCAGACCGCAGGCAGUACUUGAUGGCUUAGUUCCCCCAGUGCCCCCUCAGUUCUCUCUCUAACCCAGCUCUCCUUGCCUGUCAGCUGAUGGCCACCCACACCCAGAACAUCAGUUCAGCCUCCUGAUCUGCCUUAUCUCCAUCCAGCAAUUUAAACUUUGAAGGCGCCCUUAAAUCUGUUCUGGAAUGUUCCUCAUGUCAGCCGCCGAAGGCCGAGUGGGUCUGACAGAGAGCUUCAUCCUUUCGGCCUAGGGUCACCCUCGCCGGAGAGGAGAGAAGGCCGACUGUCCGUGCUUCUGCAAAAUCGAGAGAUGUAGGGCAUCGCUGUUGCUGGGGAUCGUGUGUCCGGCCACGUGGAGGAAGUUGGCCUGAGAAAAGCCAAACCAUAUUCGGUGCGAAGAGAAAAGAGAAAGUCUUGUUCGCCUUCAAACUUCUGGAUCCAGUGGUUUUAGAGGCUCUGAUGCUUCUUUUCCAUGGUUGCUUGAGACUUGUCAAUGAACACUUUUCUUUUUUUUUUUUCGUUUAAACUAUUUCCAGUUGAGUUUAUGCUCCUUAAAGAGCCAAACUAAUGUGUCUGCCUGCAGCAUAUUACACUGCAAUAUCACGUCUACUGCCAUGAGUUUGUUAUAACCCUCCCAUGUAAGAAGGAAUAAGACUCAGUCAUGUUAGAUAAAUUAUCCCA